GCGGCACAGUCGGCCUUCAGCAUUCCCAGCAGUGGCGGCGGCAGCGGUGGCCCGUACGGCUCACAGGACUCGGUGCACAGCAGCCCAGAGGACGGUGUCGGCUCUAGGGACCGGGACCGGCCAGCGGGCGGGGGCCCUGGCGGGCCGCGUCUGGUGAUCGGCUCGCUCCCGGCCCACCUCUCCCCGCACUUGUUUGGAGGAUUUAAGUGCCCGGUAUGCUCAAAAUUUGUACCCUCAGAUGAAAUGGAUUUGCAUCUUGUGAUGUGUUUAACAAAGCCAAGAAUAACGUAUAAUGAGGAUGUGCUGAGUAAAGAUGCGGGGGAAUGUGCAAUAUGCCUUGAAGAAUUGCAGCAGGGAGACACCAUAGCACGACUGCCUUGCCUGUGUAUAUAUCAUAAAGGCUGCAUAGAUGAAUGGUUUGAAGUAAAUAGAUCUUGUCCAGAGCACCCUUCGGAUUAAGCACACCAGAUUCCUGUGUUAUGGGUAAUUUAAAGAAGGUAUCAGGGCAGUGGAGCCCUGCGCUGCAGCCAGAAGCAGAGGGCCACACUGUGACUGCAACUGGAGGGCAGCAGUGUUGUUCUGAGGUCCUGUCGCUGCCUUCCUCACACUUCCUCAAUUUGAUCAUUUCUUGCUCUUUAGGCUAGGAAGGU
rnacentral:lncRNA from 1 species